rnacentral:rRNA from 1 species
GAACGCUGGCGGCGUGCUUAACACAUGCAAGUCGAGCGGAAAGGCCCUUCGGGGUACUCGAGCGGCGAACGGGUGAGUAACACGUGAGUAACCUGCCCUAGGCUUUGGGAUAACCCUCGGAAACGGGGGCUAAUACCGGAUAUUCAUACUGGGCGGCAUCGUUGGGUGUGGAAAGUUUUUCGGCUUGGGAUGGGCUCGCGGCCUAUCAGCUUGUUGGUGGGGUGAUGGCCUACCAAGGCGACGACGGGUAGCCGGCCUGAGAGGGCGACCGGCCACACUGGGACUGAGACACGGCCCAGACUCCUACGGGAGGCAGCAGUGGGGAAUAUUGCACAAUGGGCGGAAGCCUGAUGCAGCGACGCCGCGUGAGGGAUGAAGGCCUUCGGGUUGUAAACCUCUUUCGACAGGGACGAAGCGUGAGUGACGGUACCUGGAGAAGAAGCGCCGGCCAACUACGUGCCAGCAGCCGCGGUAAGACGUAGGGCGCGAGCGUUGUCCGGAUUUAUUGGGCGUAAAGAGCUCGUAGGCGG